rnacentral:lncRNA from 1 species
GAGCAAAUGCAACAAAUCUCCUACUGGUCAUAACUGUCGUCGACUGUUACUUUGUAAAUAGAAUAAAUAGCAUACUCAUACAUGGGAUCAUGGGAUCAAGGGUCGCAAAAUUUCAUACAUACUCUUCAUACCGCUGGAAUACCCAAGUCAAAGAGCGAAACAGUUGAGCGAGAAACAUUUAUGCGUCUGCGUCCACCCUUUUUCUUAGUCUUUUUUGUUUCCUUAAACGAAACAUGUACUUUUUAUUUUGCUUUGUUUAAGAUUAUUU